GACGAACGCUGGCGGCGUGCUUAACACAUGCAAGUCGAACGGAAAGGCCCUGCUUUUGUGGGGUGCUCGAGUGGCGAACGGGUGAGUAACACGUGAGUAACCUGCCCUUGGCUUUGGGAUAACUUCAGGAAACUGGGGCUAAUACCGGAUAGGAGCUCCUGCUGCAUGGUGGGGGUUGGAAAGUUUCGGCGGUUGGGGAUGGACUCGCGGCUUAUCAGCUUGUUGGUGGGGUAGUGGCUUACCAAGGCUUUGACGGGUAGCCGGCCUGAGAGGGUGACCGGCCACAUUGGGACUGAGAUACGGCCCGGACUCCUACGGGAGGCAGCAGUGGGGAAUAUUGCACAAUGGGCGGAAGCCUGAUGCAGCAACGCCGCGUGCGGGAUGACGGCCUUCGGGUUGUAACCCGCUUUCGCCUGUGACGAAGCGUGAGUGACGGUAAUGGGUAAAGAAGCACCGGCUAACUACGUG
rnacentral:rRNA from 1 species